rnacentral:rRNA from 1 species
GAUAUGAGAAGGCAGACCCGGGGAACUGAGACAUCUAAGUACCCGGAGGAAGAGAAAGCAAAUGCGAUUCCCUGAGUAGCGGCGAGCGAAACGGGAACAGCCCAAACCAAGAGGCUUGCCUCUUGGGGUUGUAGGACACUCUAUACGGAGUUACAAAAGAACGGGGUAGAUGAAGAGGUCUGGAAAGGCCCGCCAUAGGAGGUAACAGCCCUGUAGUCAAAACUUCGUUCUCUCCUGAGUGGAUCCUGAGUACGGCGGAACACGUGAAAUUCCGUCGGAAUCCGGGAGGACCAUCUCCCAAGGCUAAAUACUCCCUAGUGACCGAUAGUGAACCAGUACCGUGAGGGAAAGGUGAAAAGCACCCCGGAAGGGGAGUGAAAGAGAUCCUGAAACCGUGUGCCUACAAGUAGUCAGAGCCCGUUAACGGGUGAUGGCGUGCCUUUUGUAGAAUGAACCGGCGAGUUACGAUCCCGUGCAAGGUUAAGUUUGAAAAGACGGAGCCGCAGCGAAAGCGAGUCUGAAUAGGGCGCAUGAGUACGUGGUCGUAGACCCGAAACCAGGUGAUCUACCCAUGUCCAGGGUGAAGUUCAGGUAACACUGAAUGGAGGCCCGAACCCACGCACGUUGAAAAGUGCGGGGAUGAGGUGUGGGUAGGGGUGAAAUGCCAAUCGAACCUGGAGAUAGCUGGUUCUCUCCGAAAUAGCUUUAGGGCUAGCCUCAAGGUAAGAGUCUUGGAGGUAGAGCACUGAUUGGACUAGGGGCCCCUACCGGGUUACCGAAUUCAGUCAAACUCCGAAUGCCAAAGACUUAUCCUUGGGAGUCAGACUGCGAGUGAUAAGAUCCGUAGUCGAAAGGGAAACAGCCCA